rnacentral:rRNA from 1 species
CACGUAGGAGGCGAGCGUUGUCCGGAAUCACUGGGCGUAAAGGGCGCGUAGGCGGCCUGAUAAGUAGGGGGUGAAAUCCUGGAGCUCAACUCCAGAACUGCCUUCGAUACUGGAAAGCUCGAGUCCGGGAGAGGUGAGUGGAACUGCGAGUGUAGAGGUGAAAUUCGUAGAUAUUCGCAAGAACACCAGGUGGCGAAGGCGGCUCACUGGCCCGGUACUGACGCUGAGGUGCGAAAGCGUGGGGAGCAAACAGG